GAUGAACGCUAGCUAUAGGCUUAACACAUGCAAGUCGAGGGGAAACGGCAUGAGAUGCUUGCAUCUUAUGGACGUCGACCGGCGUACGGGUGAGUAACGCGUAUCCAACCUGCCCGCGAGUAGGGGAUAACCCGCAGAAAUGCGGACUAAUACCCUAUAUAGUCCAAAGAUGCCAUCAGAUUUGGACGAAAGAUUUAUCGCUCGCGGAUGGGGAUGCGUCUGAUUAGCUUGUUGGUGAGAUAAAAGCCCACCAAGGCAACGAUCAGUAGCCGGCUUGAGAGUGUGUACGGCCACAUUGGGACUGAGACACGGCCCAA
rnacentral:rRNA from 1 species